GGUUCUGUGGUGUAGCGGUCAUCACAUCUGCUUUACACGCAGACGGUCCUGAGUUCAAUCCCCAGUGGAACCA
rnacentral:tRNA from 2 species